GUGAGGAGUCAGAGAACUGAAAACAAGACAUGCUGAUGAAGACCAGCCUCUAAGGGGCAGACAAAGAAGGAGAAGGGGGAAAGCAGAAAGCCCCCCAGGUACAUAGUUGUACAUUCUUCGUUGUGGCUCCUUCUAGUUGUGGCAUGUGGGAUGCUGCCUCAGCGUGGUUUGAUGAGCAGUGCCAUGUUUGCGCCCAGGAUUCGAACCAAUGAAACACUGGGCCGCCUGCAGCGGAGUGCACGAACUUAACCACUCGGCCACGGGGCCAGCCCCAUUUGGAAGGACCACUGGAAACUCUGCACAUUACAAGGGCAUCAUCAAGGUUACAUAGAUUCUGUUACAAGACAGAUCUGUCUUCUUGCAUCUUCAAAGAUGUUUAGUGUGCUAACGCUUCUUCCUUUCUUAAGAAAGCAACCAAU
rnacentral:lncRNA from 1 species